GGUUUUUUAUUUAUUUGUUUCUACAAGUCCUACACAUUGUUUUAUCUUUCACAAAUUGCAUCAGAAAGUCCUAGUUCUCCUGGGACUGAAUAUUCCAUAUUUACAGCAUACUUACUCCGUGUUCUGGGAAAGUGCAGUCAUGUUGAUUAACUGCCUCAGCAGUUCCUUAGGCCCUGCUGCUCUUAGUCACUGUAAUCUCUUUCUGUACAGGCUGAGUAGCCAGGUAAAUGCAUGUGUUCUCCACUUCCAUAUAGCAAAUACCCAUCUUUAAAGAGAAACACCUUAGUUCAUAAAAGGUUCUGCAUGAAAAAAUAAGAGGAGCGUUACUCUGCCCAGAUAUUCUACAGCAAACAUUACAAAUCUCUGUAUGCAGGGAUCUUGCAUGAACAGCAGGCUUAAAUCAGGCACACUUUACCAGGGUAUUUCUCUCAGGGGAAAGUUUAAAAAAAAAUAUUUUAUUACAUUAUUCACCCCCUUACUGAGCAAUAAGAGAUUAUUUUCUUGGCUCCUAGACUUCCAAAUGAAAAAUACCUUUAAUAACAUUAGCAAGCACAGUAAGCAAUUAACUUUAUAAAAGUUCACUUUAAAAUACUGAGACAGUAGUUACCUUAUAUAUCUGUUGGCACUGGUGUCAGAGCCCAGGCCUCUUCUAUACAUCUCUCAGUACUCAGACAUAUAUACCGUACACUUAGAUGCAUGUGCUGUGGGGACAUGGGGUGAAUACAGCUAAAUUCUCAGAAGUGUACAGCACAGGAUAACAAGGAGCUUAAAGACAGGUUAAAGGCAGUCGUGAGUAGGCCAAGGAAUGUUUGCUACGGUAUUUGCCCUUGCUUAAAAGUAGCUAAUAAUUUCACAGCCCUGCCCAGAACAGAUGCUCUAGUUUCUAACUCCUGAGUUAGCUGUAGAAAUCAGCUCAGAGUCAAGAUUCCGACUCCUUGAUCAGACUUUUUCAUGUUUUGCUUAGAAGACCAAAGAAAUCUUCUUAGAAGCAAAAAUAAACUUAAAUCACAGGCUGAAGAAUGUUUUAGUCUUACAUUCUGGGCUAACGUAUACAUAUGAUGCAUCCCAUUUCCCAGUUCGUUAAUACUGGUAAACAGUCAUAUCAUUUCGGGCAAACUUAUUUCUAUGUCCUAGAAGUAUUAUAUUAUUAAAUACUAAAUAGCAGUAUUUGCUUCUGCAUAGACAUGGCUUAUCAUUUUUGGAAAUGUUUACUUUACUGAUAGCUGUAUCAGCUUUUUCACCUAACAUAUUUUGCUACUGAUAAGCACUCGUAAGAAGUCAGAUUAUAAACUGGUAGAUAAUUUAUGAUUGUGUUUCAGAAAAAUACAUAAUAACAAAAGCAAUUCCCCCUCUGUUCAAAUUCAAUUUUCACACAGAAAAAUCAAUAGAACAACACAUAAAACUGAAUGCCUUUUUGCUCCUAAUGUGAACUUUGUCUCUUUUGGAAAAAAACUUUCUUAAAGUUUAUGAAUAACGCCUUAACAGGUGUUAAAAAUAAAAUCGGCACUUUUCAGGCAAAAAUGCAGUAUUUUUUUCCUAAGAGCUCAUACCCAUUGAAGCAUCCUUAAAAAAAAUCAAAAGGUGGUCAGUAAAGCUUUUGAUUUUUUUCUUUCUUUCUUUCCUUUUCCUUUUUUCUUUAGCAGCUGUAUACCAUUUAGAUAAAGUUUUAACUUUGUGAAGUUUUACUAUUUUACAUAAAUUGUGCUAGUUAAUCCUUUGAGUUGACAUUUCUAUCUUUUAAGGCCACUGAUUACCGUCACUUGCUGUAAACGUGGUUCACUCCACUCACCUCUCUUAACUGUUAACUCUGUUAACAGUGUUAAAAAUGCUAUCUUACCUGCGUUUUCAGUACAACUUAUAAAAAGGCAAUACUCACAACGUUGUUACUCACUGGACUGCUAAUAAAUCCAGCUUCUAAUCUUACCUGAGCACUAUAUUUCAUUAAAUGUGCUGUUAAAUCAAUCGUGUCGACAUUUCCUGCCCCACAACUUAGAGGAUGUCUUCACUAAAGACAAAUUGUUUCUUAAAAAUUGAGAACAUAUAAAUAUAUAUAAAACAUGGUAUGUUUUUGAAUAUUUCAAAUGUUCAUGAUACUUUGAUAGAAAUGUGAAAUACCAGAUAGAGUAUCGGACUAAUACAGAGGAGACCUGGGUACCUUUGGCUUUGCCUUUGUCCUGCUCUGUUACUUGGAAGUGACACUAUGACUCUGGUUUGCAAGGUACUUGGAGAUGCUAUGAUUAAAAAUUUUCAAGACAACAGCCAGAAUAACAUUUUUUCCUCUUUUUUUUGGGCAUCAUAACUAAAUUUCUGUUCUGCAAACUAAGUCACUUUCCCAAUAAAUUCCAGUUCAGCUCAGAAGUGAGUAGAAAUUUCAUCACUAACGUGAAACAUAACAAAAGCAAUGUCUUCUUUUAUGGACAACAUUAAUACAGAAUGAUAUAUUUCACAGUGAAAAAUGUGAAAAUUAGGAAAAAAAAAAA
ensembl:lncRNA